GGUCGCCUCACCGCGAGUACUGGUCCGGCUGGACCUUUCCUUCUGGGGAACCUCAUGGCCUUCACUGGCUGUGGGGGGAACCAGGACUUUUACUGUGAAAAAAUUAGAGUGUUCAAAGCAGGCCUUUGCUCGAAUACAUUAGCAUGGAAUAAUAGAAUAGGACGUGUGGUUCUAUUUUGUUGGUUUCUAGGACCGCCGUAAUGAUUAAUAGGGAUAGUCGGGGGCGUCAGUAUUCAGCUGUCAGAGGUGAAAUUCUUGGAUUUGCUGAAGACUAACUACUGCGAAAGCAUUCGCCAAGGAUGUUUUCAUUAAUCAGGGAACGAAAGUUAGGGGAUCGAAGACGAUCAGAUACCGUCGUAGUCUUAACCAUAAACUAUGCCGACUAGGGAUCGGACGGGAUUCUAUAAUGACCCGUUCGGCACCUUACGAGAAAUCAAAGUUUUUGGGUUCUGGGGGGAGUAUGGUCGCAAGGCUGAAACUUAAAGAAAUUGACGGA
rnacentral:rRNA from 1 species